rnacentral:rRNA from 1 species
GAUGAACGCUGGCGGCGUGCCUAAUACAUGCAAGUCGAGCGAACAGAUAAGGAGCUUGCUCCUUUGACGUUAGCGGCGGACGGGUGAGUAACACGUGGGUAACCUACCUAUAAGACUGGGAUAACUUCGGGAAACCGGAGCUAAUACCGGAUAAUAUUUCGAACCGCAUGGUUCGAUAGUGAAAGAUGGUUUUGCUAUCACUUAUAGAUGGACCCGCGCCGUAUUAGCUAGUUGGUAAGGUAACGGCUUACCAAGGCGACGAUACGUAGCCGACCUGAGAGGGUGAUCGGCCACACUGGAACUGAGACACGGUCCAGACUCCUACGGGAGGCAGCAGUAGGGAAUCUUCCGCAAUGGGCGAAAGCCUGACGGAGCAACGCCGCGUGAGUGAUGAAGGUCUUCGGAUCGUAAAACUCUGUUGUUAGGGAAGAACAUACGUGUAAGUAACUGUGCACGUCUUGACGGUACCUAAUCAGAAAGCCACGGCUAACUACGUGCCAGCAGCCGCGGUAAUACGUAGGUGGCAAGCGUUAUCCGGAAUUAUUGGGCGUAAAGCGCGCGUAGGCGGUUUUUUAAGUCUGAUGUGAAAGCCCACGGCUCAACCGUGGAGGGUCAUUGGAAACUGGAAAACUUGAGUGCAGAAGAGGAAAGUGGAAUUCCAUGUGUAGCGGUGAAAUGCGCAGAGAUAUGGAGGAACACCAGUGGCGAAGGCGACUUUCUGGUCUGUAACUGACGCUGAUGUGCGAAAGCGUGGGGAUCAAACAGGAUUAGAUACCCUGGUAGUCCACGCCGUAAACGAUGAGUGCUAAGUGUUAGGGGGUUUCCGCCCCUUAGUGCUGCAGCUAACGCAUUAAGCACUCCGCCUGGGGAGUACGACCGCAAGGUUGAAACUCAAAGGAAUUGACGGGGACCCGCACAAGCGGUGGAGCAUGUGGUUUAAUUCGAAGCAACGCGAAGAACCUUACCAAAUCUUGACAUCCUUUGACAACUCUAGAGAUAGAGCUUCCCCCUUCGGGGGACAAAGUGACAGGUGGUGCAUGGUUGUCGUCAGCUCGCGUCGUGAGAUGUUGGGUUAAGUCCCGCAACGAGCGCAACCCUUAAGCUUAGUUGCCAUCAUUAAGUUGGGCACUCUAAGUUGACUGCCGGUGACAAACCGGAGGAGGGUGGGGAUGACGUCAAAUCAUCAUGCCCCUUAUGAUUUGGGCUACACACGUGCUACAAUGGACAAUACAAAGGGCAGCGAAACCGCGAGGUCAAGCAAAUCCCAUAAAGUUGUUCUCAGUUCGGAUUGUAGUCUGCAACUCGACUACAUGAAGCUGGAAUCGCUAGUAAUCGUAGAUCAGCAUGCUACGGUGAAUACGUUCCCGGGUCU